AGAAAAAAGUAGGCCAUAUUGUAACAAAAAUCCAACCACGGCCACCUGACCAAAAACUCCUUUUAGGGGUCCUAUCUAUAUGUUAAAACUUUAACCUUUAUUAUUUACUUUUAAAACGAAAAUACUUAGAGAAACCAAUA